rnacentral:tRNA from 1 species
GAGGAUGUGGCUCAGUGGUAGAGCUCUUGCCUUCCAUGCACAGGGCCCUGGGUUGGAGACACAGCACCUCCA